AGUGAACGCUGGCGGCGUGCCUAACACAUGCAAGUCGAACGGACGAAGAGGGCUUGCCCUCCUAGUUAGUGGCGCACGGGUGAGUAACACGUAGUUAAUCUGCCCCCUACUAAGGGACAACAGUUGGAAACGACUGCUAAUACCUUAUACUCCGUUGUGACCUAAGUCAUAACGGGAAAGUUUUUUCGGUAGGGGAUGAGACUGCGGCCUAUCAGCUAGUUGGUGAGGUAAUGGCUCACCAAGGCUAUGACGGGUAUCUGGUUUGAGAGGAUGAUCAGACACACUGGAACUGAGACACGGUCCAGACUCCUACGGGUGGCAG
rnacentral:rRNA from 1 species